rnacentral:tRNA from 1 species
GAGGGUAUGGCUCAGUGGGAGGGCACACGCCCAGCAUGCGCAAGGUCCUGGGUUCAAUCCCCAGCACCUCCA